AUGAACCCAAGUAUAGCUGGAUGACCAAGGAGCCCUCUUCCAUCUGACUGAAUCUCAUCCAAUUUUGAGGGGAGGAGCCUGCAUGGAGAGCAAACUCUGGGGUAAAAUUACAUGAUCUCACUGCCUGAAGGAUACCAGGCUUAGGUGCAGAGUCACAAAAGUGAAACUGUGCACCUACUACCCGCCAGGAAAUGAACCAGGCCAUGAGAACACAAAACAGGCAGACACAGACGGCCCUUGAGUUCACGGAAAGCAGAUUCUCAUGCAGAUCACAUUAACCUCACAGGGCAAACAAGAGAUUAAAGUGCUGGGAAUAGGGAUACCAGACUUGAGAGUUGGAGAGCUUGCCCCUGACCUCUGUCUAUCAUCAUAAAGAAUACACCAUAAGAAGACGUAGUUCAGGAAAUGAAACUAGAGGCA